rnacentral:rRNA from 2 species
CCGUAGCCUGGUAGCGGGGGAUAACUAUUGGAAACGAUAGCUAAUACCGCAUAACAGUAGAUAUUGCAUGAUAUCUGCUUGAAAGGGGCAAUUGCUCCACUACCAGAUGGACCUGCGUUGUAUUAGCUAGUUGGUGAGGUAACGGCUCACCAAGGCGACGAUACAUAGCCGACCUGAGAGGGUGAUCGGCCACACUGGGACUGAGACACGGCCCAG